CAUGGUUGUCGUCAGCUCGUGUCGUGAGAUGUUGGGUUAAGUCCCGCAACGAGCGCAACCCUUGUGUUUAGUUGCAAACAAGGUCAAGCUGUGCACUCUAGACAGACUGCCGUGGACAACAACGGAGGAAGGUGGGGAGUGACGUCAAAUACAUCAUGCCCCUUACUGAUCUGGGCUACACACGUGCUACAAUGGCCGGUACAACGGGCAGCGAAGGAGCGAUCCGGAGCGAAUCCUAAAAAGCCGGUCCCAGUUCGGAUUGCAGGCUGAAACUCGCCUACAUGAAGUUGGAGUUGCUAGUAAUCGCGAAUCAGAAUGUCGCGGUGAAUACGUUCCCGGGUCUU
rnacentral:rRNA from 1 species